rnacentral:rRNA from 1 species
UACGGGGGGGGCAAGCGUUGUCCGGAUUUACUGGGCGUAAAGAGCGCGCAGGCGGUCGGAUAAGUCGAAUGUGAAAGCCCCCGGCUCAACUGGGGAGGGUCAUUCGAUACUGUUCGACUCGAAGGCAGGAGAGGGAAGUGGAAUUCCCGGUGUAGUGGUGAAAUGCGUAGAUAUCGGGAGGAACACCAGUGGCGAAGGCGACUUCCUGGCCUGUUCUUGACGCUGAGGCGCGAAAGCUAGGGGAGCAAACGGG